rnacentral:rRNA from 2 species
UUCUACGGGGGGGGGGGCAGUAGGGAAUCUUCCGCAAUGGACGAAAGUCUGACGGAGCAACGCCGCGUGAGUGAUGAAGGCUUUCGGGUCGUAAAACUCUGUUGUUAGGGAAGAACAAGUACGAGAGUAACUGCUCGUACCUUGACGGUACCUAACCAGAAAGCCACGGCUAACUACGUGCCAGCAGCCGCGGUAAUACGUAGGUGGCAAGCGUUAUCCGGAAUUAUUGGGCGUAAAGCGCGCGCAGGCGGUUUCUUAAGUCUGAUGUGAAAGCCCACGGCUCAACCGUGGAGGGUCAUUGGAAACUGGGGAACUUGAGUGCAGAAGAGAAAAGCGGAAUUCCACGUGUAGCGGUGAAAUGCGUAGAGAUGUGGAGGAACACCAGUGGCGAAGGCGGCUUUUUGGUCUGUAACUGACGCUGAGGCGCGAAAGCGUGGGGAGCAAACAGGAUUAGAUACCCUGGUAGUCCACGCCGUAAACGAUGAGUGCUAAGUGUUAGAGGGUUUCCGCCCUUUAGUGCUGCAGCUAACGCAUAAGCACUCCGCCUGGAGUACUGCAGGUG